rnacentral:lncRNA from 1 species
GUUGCUGUGCUUGUCAUUUUAGACAAAGCAUUUGCUGAAGUCAGUGUGUGUAACUACACAGCCGUGGAGGUAAUACUGGGGAUGUGGAUCUAGAUUCACUUGUGAGAUCUUUUUAAAAUUAGUUUGGAGCUGCUAUUUCAUAAUUUGCUUGUAAAGCUGUUGAAGCCAUGCUUGCAAGUCUGUGAUCACUGCUCCCAGGGUGACCGCAUCCGCGGGCUGGAGGAGAGCCAUGCGCUGGAGGGACGGACAGACAGAGGGACGGCCAAGGCAGGCAGGCGCUGCAGCACGCUGGGAGUUGUGUUUGUGAGCAGGCAUGCUGGGAGCGCGAGUCUUUCCACUUUACUUCCUGUCUGCAAUGGCCUCGCGAUGUAAGGCAGGGCCCGUCUGGCGCUUCCAUUUGGGGAGGUAAUUACCACUUGACUGGACAAUGACUGGCCAUGCUGACUUGCAGUAAGUGGCAGCAACACCACUGACAUCAGCAAAAUGAAAUGUUUUGGAGUUAAGUCCAACAUGUGUCCCUGAGGAACUAAGUCCAGGAGUGCAGAUGAUGAGUCUGACUGGUGUAUUCUGACUUACUGCUGGUGAAAGAAGUGGCACCCCUCUACUAGUUAGUCACUGGAGCAAUCCAUAAAGGCAGGAAAUGGUUCCGGUUCUCCAGUGAGAAGUAUGGCAAACGAAGCUGUUGUCUGUAAAGCAGCAUCUAGAAUAGAUCUUCCCACAGCAUAAACACUGAGGAGGUGAGGGAAAAGAUUUU